CAAGGGUGGAGGACCAAAAGAGAAAUAAUCCGCCUCCCUAAAACGCUGCACAGUAAUAGGGACUGAUUUGAAGUAAAAAUAGAAUGUGCAGUGAAAUUUAAAAGAAAUCAGAAAUUUAAUUUAAACACACUGCAAAAAUAGGGGGACCAAUUGCGCAAAUUCCCCCAUGCUACAAAACACGCGGAUUUGGGACCAGAUCGGGUCGGUGCAUGGGUUGGCCCCCAAAACGACGCCGUUUUGGGCGUCUAGGGGGCCUAAUGAAACGACACCGUAUUGCCUUAUUAUUUAAACAAAAUUUUCUGUUUUAAAAAUCAUUUGACAGCCCACUUUCUAAAACAACAAAAAAACCGUUGCCCCCUUUCUCUCUGCUAGGGUUUUGACCCUAGCAUCUUUAUGUCGCCGUGCCGCCGCUCCUUCGCCACUGCUCCGCCAAGGACGGCAAUCUUUGGCCAACGAGAAGACCACGGACCUCCGAUUCGGCCAACUGGAGAUGUACGUGGGACACGUACGUGCGCAAAGGGUGGUGGUGCGGGGCUGAUGUGCGGCGGCUAGGGUUGAAGGUUGUAUGCUGCUAGGGUUCCUGUUGGAAUUUAGUUAGUGGGCUGUUGGGGUUUGGGCCUGUAAAAACUUAGACUGCUUAUUUUUUGUUUUGUAAGGGCCCGGGUAAAUUGGGCUUAUUACAAUCUCCUUAUACGACGAAUCAUAAUCCCCAUACAAUUACUCCAA